GACAUAUUAAUCCAAGUUUAUGUUUCAUUUCAAAUGUAGAAAUCUCUUUCCUUCAAUGUGUAAAUAUCGUCAUGAAGUUGAAAUUUUCUUGAAAAUGUACGACACUCUGUCAUUUGAAUGAAGUGCUUCAGCUUUCUUUUUCCAAGCUGCUGAUGUUUUUGUAUUAACUAAAAACUAGAAAUACAAUUUUGCUUCACCACCAAGAUUCAUCCCAUGAAGAAGAAAACAAAAUACCAAACAAAAGAAUCAACUAGUGAAAAUCUGAAAUUUCUUUGUCUAUUAUCAUCAAAUUUUCCAAAAAUAAGAAGAGUAGAUACAAUAGACCGAUAGAGGUAGUUGAAAGUUGGUAAUUAAGAUAACUUACAAAAUAAAAAAGUAAUUCAUUUCAUUAAACAAAUAGUACCUUAAAUAGAUCCAUAAUAGAUAUUAGGAUCGAGUUAGAGAUACACCGUUACAAUAAAGAAUCAAUUAAGUUAUUACAAAUUUACAAUAUGUCACCUAAUUAAAGAACAGAGAGGAAGAAAAUGCACAAGAGAAGGAUACAUCAAUACCUGCUCAGCUCUUUUAAUUAUCCAGUUUCUCUAGCUCCACAAUAAACAAUCGCUCAAACAAAACUAUAAUUUUGAGUUUAUUAAAACAUUUACAAUUGUUUUUAUAAAUAAAAUUUGCAUACGAUAUCUGGUGCCAAUAUGGUUAUUACUCAUUAGACAGUCAAGGAAGGCUCAAACAAAUCUAAAAUAUUGAAGUUGGUAUGAUCAUCAUCUCCGUUCAAAAAGGUUGCAUGAGAAAUGACUAAUGAUAUGAAAUAUUCAAAGCAAUAAGUGGGGAUAUAUAGUAAGUAUCCCAAGUAAUAUAUCAUCACUAGAUGUAUAUAAUAAUGGUUAACAUUAUUAUUCAUUAUUAAUAAGAUUAUUUUACAAUCAUCUACUUUGUCCUCUACUUUAGAUAAAUAUGUAGAAUGAAUGGCCAAAAAUCACAUUUACAUGUUGUAUGAAUGACAUAUUAAUCCAAGUUUAUGUUUCAUUUCAAAUGUAGAAAUCUCUUUCCUUCAAUGUGUAAAUAUCGUCAUGAAGUUGAAAUUUUCUUGAAAAUGUACGACACUCUGUCAUUUGAAUGAAGUGCUUCAGCUUUCUUUUUCCAAGCUGCUGAUGUUUUUGUAUUAACUAAAAACUAGAAAUACAAUUUUGC
rnacentral:lncRNA from 1 species